UACGUGGGUGGCAAGCGUUGUCCGGAAUUAUUGGGCGUAAAGAGCGCGUAGGCGGCCCGGAAAGUCGGAUGUGAAAACCCGGGGCUCAACCCCGGGCCUGCAUCCGAUACUCCCGGGCUGGAGGCAGGUAGGGGAGAUCGGAAUUCCUGGUGUAGCGGUGAAAUGCGCAGAUAUCAGGAGGAACACCGGUGGCGAAGGCGGAUCUCUGGGCCUGUCCUGACGCUGAGGCGCGAAAGCGUGGGGAGCGAACGGG
rnacentral:rRNA from 1 species